UGAGGAUAAAAUGCAAGCCCAAUUAGAAGAUCUAAAAAGUUUCUUACAGGAUCAAUUGGCAAACAACCACUCUACCAGAAACAGACCUCUUUCUGAACCUUUGAAUGAGGAAAUUUCCUUCCCUGAAAUAGAGAUGGAAAACACCUUCCCUAUAGCCCAGUUAACAGACUGCUUCUCUCGUGCAGUGCAAAUCUUGACUGAAUUUAAUCCCCAAAACCCUUCCCCUGUAAUCCCAGUUUCUCAUGUUCCCUCUCCUACAGAAAACCAAAUUCCAACGCAAAGGAGAUCUUGUCCUCCUAGAGAAACCUGUCCUUGUCAAACUGACCCACAGGUACAAAAUUCAACUAGAGGCCUGUUUCCUCUAAGAGAAGUACCUGAAAUAGGACGGAAUGGGGAUGUGGUGACUUUAAGACAUAGGAUACCGUUUAGUCCCCAAGAAAUAAAUGAAUUUACACGAAAUAUCCCCACAUAUGAACAAGAUCCUUUUCUAGUAACAAAAAAGAUGGGAGACAUAUUUUUUCAGUAUAAUCCAUCUUACAAGGAUGUUGAGAACUUACUACAGGCUUUUUUAAGUGAAUGUGAAAAAAAUAAAAUAAUUUCUCAUGUCAACAAAACCAGGGGGCGUAAUGCAGCACAUUGGCCAUCUCAGGAUCCCGAAUGGGACUAUAACAAUCCUGAGGAUUAUCUACAACUAUACCGUUGUAGAGAGGCCAUCCUCACGGCAAUGAAGGAAUGUGCCGACAGUACAGAUAAGUGGAUGGAACUGGAAAAAAUUAAGCAAAAGGAAGAAGAAUCACCCUCCAGAUUUAUGGAUAGAAUUAUCGAGUUUGGGGACAGAUACUUAGAUUGGGACUUAACUAAAGAGAGUAGUUUAAGACAAGUUAGAAGAAUCUUUGUAAAUAACUCUUGCAAAGCAAUUAAGAAUUAUUUUAGAACACAAUGCCCAAGAUGGUCAGAUAUGGACCUUGAAGAAUUGCGAAAAACAGCUAUAUAUGUUUUAAAAGGGAAACAAAGAAAAGGAGAAAGAAAAUCAUGAUGACAUGAAGGAAGUGAAGAAAAAAAUAAGAUAUUUAAUAGAUAGG
rnacentral:lncRNA from 1 species